rnacentral:tRNA from 1 species
GUUCUUGUAGUUAAAUGAUAACGGUGGUUUUUCAAGUCACUGAUCCUGGUUAGAGUCCGGGCAGGAAUU